rnacentral:lncRNA from 1 species
GAGCGAAAGGCUGGCUGCUCACAGGUGCCCCUUGUUGGGCUGUCGGCUGGCCCAGCAGGCUGGGAGCCCUGAGCUGCUUCUUGGCACAGCCUGGCUGGGCUGGCCCAGGGAGCUCUUAAAUGGAGGCAGCUUUACAGCUCUCUUAGCUGUCUUUGUGUCGUUUUGUUUGUUUGAUUGUUUGUUUUUUGGGGGGGGUUGGCCCCUUGCUAAGAUACCUGUGGGUAGUUUAACAGUGGCUUACAGUCCUGGCCUGAUUAGAUGUGGUAAUUGUUUAUUAAGCAAAAAUGUAGUGGGGAAGCAAAGAGCCCAGCAAGUGGGAAGUACUGCACGUGUGAAGGAUGGGAAGGAGAGGAGCGCUGGGGACAUGCUGGAGCUGUCCUGCAAGGUGUGUGUGUGUGGACCAUCUUCCCACCUGAGACCAUGCCAUCAGGCUCGUACGUGAUUCCAUGAAAUUUUGGACACCCAGCCCUCACCGGGACUGCCCACAUCGACCAGAUGUUUGGGGGAGAGGAAGGGUGCUAAUCCCCAGCGCUGCUGUCUUCGCAUUUGGGAGAAAUAUUCUUUUAAGACUGGCAUUUGUCCACCAGUCCCCAGAUGGCUCAUGUGUGCACAGGCAUGCACCAACAGACACCGCUGUUCGGCAUUACAAGACCAUGACUUUUUUCGAAAUACAAAUAACUACUUUCAUACUUUACAACAAUGGUGCUUGUUUCAUUGCAGACACAGAAGCUCAUGGUUGCCACUAGAAAGCUGCCUUACUCUGCCCAGUCUGAUUUCCCAUUAUUAUCCAUCGGAAAAACAAUUCAGCGUACGCCACAAGGACGAAUGGUUCUAAACCGUGUAAAUCCCGCUCUGAUCUGUAGGACAAUGAGCACUGGAGGGGUCCUCUGUGCGUCUCACCAGUUCUUGAAAAUAAGACCACUGCCUUGGGGUUUUCUCCUCUGAUGCAUUAUGCUGCUUACAUCGACCUGACCCUGAGGGGUUGUGGCCAGGAGCCCCGAGCCGAGCCGAUUCUGCAAUCAUUGCCUCCUCCUGCGGUCUGCCAGCCGCGUGACACCGGCAGCCACAGGAGCUUCUCCCAAGGGGGAGAACAGAGCUGGGAUCCACGUUUCCUCCGUGGUUCGUGCCCGUCCUUGGCAGCAUUUUUAUCCUCUGUCACGUCCCAGUUAGGAGAAGAUGUGCCACCCAAGGGCCGGGAGGCCGCAGCUCGCAGGGUCGUGCAGGGCAGAUAGGUCCUGCUGCCUCCUCCACCCGCGGGCAGGGCUGCCUCCUCGCCCCAAAUCAGAGCCUGGUGCUGCCUCCUCGCCCCAAAUCAGAGCCUGGUGCUGCCUCCUCGCCCCAAAUCAGAGCCUGGUGCUGCCUCCUCGCCCCAAAUCAGAGCCUGGUGCUGCCUGAGAGAGCAUGGGGCUGGGCAGGGCAUGGGGCUGGGCAGAAAACAGAAGGCAAAGUGCCCGAUGAAACCUCCCGAGGAAAUGCAGAGCAGGAGAGGACAAUGCCUCCCGAACUGGUCUGCUCCCUGGCAGUAAAUUACAGGCUGCGUGGCGGAGUGAGUACGUGCUUGAUGCCUGUAUGUCUUUUGUUUAUUCUUCCUGCGGCUCUCUUCAGCACAGAAAACCAGUGAUAAAUGAAUGGUUUGGGUAACAUGUUUAUUGAUGCUUUUGUUCUCUCUGACACAAAGCCUGUUGUAAAUACUAAUAACGAUUUAUUUUUUUUUUGCUGCUUUGCCUUCAAAAUCAAUGUUCUUGC